rnacentral:ribozyme from 1 species
UUUUUAUUUCUUUCCCUAUUUUUUAUUUGUUUUUGUUUUUGUUUUUCUAUUUUUUUUAUUUU